UACGUAGGGGGCAAGCGUUAUCUGGAUUUACUGGGUGUAAAGGGAGCGUAGACGGCCAUUCAAGCCAGAUGUGAAAGCCCGGGGCUCAACCCCGGGACUGCAUUUGGAACUGUAUGGCUGGAGUGUCGGAGAGGCAGGCGGAAUUCCUAGUGUAGCGGUGAAAUGCGUAGAUAUUAGGAGGAACACCAGUGGCGAAGGCGGCCUGCUGGACGAUGACUGACGUUGAGGCUCGAAAGCGUGGGGAGCAAACAGG
rnacentral:rRNA from 1 species